rnacentral:rRNA from 1 species
AUUGAACGCUGGCGGCAUGCUUUACACAUGCAAGUCGAACGGUAACAGGGUGCUUGCACCGCUGACGAGUGGCGAACGGGUGAGUAAUGCGUCGGAACGUGCCGAGAAGUGGGGGAUAACGCAGCGAAAGUUGUGCUAAUACCGCAUACGUACUGAGGUAGAAAGUGGGGGACCUUCGGGCCUCACGCUAUUCGAGCGGCCGACGUCUGAUUAGCUAGUAGGUGAGGUAAAGGCUCACCUAGGCGACGAUCAGUAGCGGGUCUGAGAGGAUGGUCCGCCACACUGGGACUGAGACACGGCCCAGACUCCUACGGGAGGCAGCAGUGGGGAAUUUUGGACGAUGGGCGAAAGCCUGAUCCAGCCAUGCCGCGUGUCUGAAGAAGGCCUUCGGGUUGUAAAGGACUUUUGUCAGGGAGGAAAGGUUGAUGCCUAAUACGUAUCAACUGUGACGUUACUCGCAGAAGAAGCACCGGCUAACUCCGUGCCAGCAGCCGCGGUAA